rnacentral:misc_RNA from 1 species
GAAUGAAAUAUUCCAAAGGGCACAGCCCUUUGGAAUGUGAAAUAUUGGCCUGACGGCCAAUGUGAAAUAUUCGACUGACGUCGAAUGUGAAAUAUCCG